GACGAACGCUGGCGGCGUGCCUAAUACAUGCAAGUCGAGCGCAGGAAACCGUCUGAACCCUUCGGGGGGACGACGGCGGAAUGAGCGGCGGACGGGUGAGUAACACGUAAAGAACUUGCCCAUAGGUCUGGGAUAACCACGAGAAAUCGGGGCUAAUACCGGAUGUGUCAUCGGACCGCAUGGUCCGCUGACGAAAGGCGCUUCGGCGUCGCCCAUGGAUGGCUUUGCGGUGCAUUAGCUAGCUGGUGGGGUAAUGGCCCACCAAGGCGACGAGGCAUAGCCGACCUGAGAGGGUGAUCGGCCACACUGGGACUGAGACACGGCCCAGACUCCUACGGGAGGCAGCAGUAGGGAAUCUUCCACAAUGGACGAAAGUCUGAUGGAGCAACGCCGCGUGAACGAUGAAGGCUUUCGGGUCGUAAAGUUCUGUUGUAAGGGAAGAACAAGUGCCGCAGGCAAUGGCGGCACCUUGACGGUACCUUGCGAGAAAGCCACGGCUAACUACGUGCCAGCAGCCGCCGUAACAC
rnacentral:rRNA from 1 species